rnacentral:snRNA from 1 species
GGCUGAGAGUAUAUAUUGAUUUUUUUUUUUCUGAAGAAUCGUCGCCCCACUGAUUGCCAGGGUUGAUUCGGCUGACCUGGCUGGCUAGGCGGGUGUCCCCUUCCUCCCUCACCGCUCCAUGUGCAUCCCUCCCGAAGCCGCGCUCUCGGUCGAAGAAGAGGACCAUCCCCAGUAGAGGAGGACCCAUCUUCGGUCUAGGGUAUACGAGUAGCUGCCCUCCCCUGCUAGAACCUCCAAACAAGCUCUCAAGGUCCAUAUUAGUCUGUAUGUCUGUAUAUUCAGGCAGAGUUUCUUCAAGUUUAAGGGAAUACAUUUUUCU